CCCUAGACUGUCUGGGUCUAGAGCUCAAGGCCUACCAAGCUGGCUUAGUGGAGACCUUCUUAAAAACAUCCAUUUUCCAGCCACUCAGGCUGGUUUGCUCAUCUUCAGUAAAGGUGAUAACAGCCUUCUGCCGCAAGCCAGAGGUACUGUCAGUGUUCACCGCAUAAAACAGGCAACACACAUGUGAAACUCAUUGGGUCUCUCCAGCAGAAUGACAACUUUAUCACCACAGUGUAACUGGAACAUCCUCCACACAGCUGUGGCCAGAGCAGUAAAUCUGAAACUGAAAUUUGAUCCUGACACCACCUGUUUAAACCCUUCCUGUGGCUGAAACACCUCCUGCUUCUCAUCGGCAUUUGCCCUGAGAGCCAGAAUGGGGCUGAAUCUUCAGACGGAGAUCAAAGUGGCCAUAGCAGAAGGGAUAAGAGGUGAUGCAGAGGCUGGGCCAGGACUUGGGAUGCUGCUGUAAUAGCUAGCACUCCAAUACCCAUCUUGAACCAUGGAUGACCCUGAGAUGGAACCAUCUUGAACCAUGAGAUGACCCUGAUAUGGAACCAUCUUGAACCAUGAGAUGACCUUGAGAUGGGACCAUCUUGAACCAUGAGAUGACCUUGAGGUGGGAGCCUUGGAGCAGAAAGAUAGAAGGAUGCUUUCUCACUCCCAGAUGAUCCUAUAAGGACACCAUACCAAGCCCAUCACACCUAUCUCUCAUCUUCUUUAACAUGAGAAGAUAAAACCUUUAAGACAAA